rnacentral:rRNA from 1 species
UGAGGAAUAUUGCUCAAUGGGCGAAAGCCUGAAGCAGCAACGCCGCGUGCGCGAUGAAGGUCUUCGGAUCGUAAAGCGCUUUUGAGAGGGACGAGAUAGGACGGUACCUCUUGAAUAAGUCACGGCUAACUACGUGCCAGCAGCCGCGGUAAAACGUAGGUGGCAAGCGUUAUCCGGAUUCACUGGGCGUAAGGCGCGUGCAGGUGGCUUCGUAAGUUGGACGUUAAAUCUUUCGGCCUAACCGGGAGGUGUCGUUCAAUACUGCGGGGCUUGAGGGUAGAAGAGGGGGGUGGAAUUGCCGGUGUAGUGGUGAAAUGCGUAGAUAUCGGCAGGAACACCUGUGGCGAAAGCGGCCCCCUGGUCUGCUCCUGACACUCAGACGCGAAAGCUAGGGGAGUGAACG